CCCUACUUACACUGUUGUUUUUGGCUCGUAUUUCUCCUUCCUGUUUUCCCAGUUGCUAACUGAUGACAUACGACUCCAGAGCCUUCUGAUGUCAGGACUGCGCGGCCAAACGUUUGAUUUUUCAGCUGGCUAACACUUGUCAGAGCAAAUCAAAGCGUUUGAAGCUGCUGAUGAGAACGGUAACCUUUCACAGCGAAUCGGCCGCUGUCUCUCUCCAUCGGUUAGUCGUUAGUCCAACCAGCUGUCAGCGCUGGCGUGGGCGCCCCGGUCCCUGUGACUGGACAUGGAACCAGACUUCUUCCUCGCCGGAUGCUGGUGACCGAGGACGUGCUCAGCAUGUGUACAGAAUGUGUAGGGCCAGGGACGGCAGAAACCAGCCGCUCGAACCUCUGCUAAUAUCGCUUUCUCACGUCUCCUUUUUAUCGUGAUGAAUGAGGCGCGCUGGAUCGAGAGUGGCAGUUCUGUUGAGCAAGUCUUUAGACAUAUUAGAUGCUGUAGCAUCUCUUUGACGCUAAUACUCUACCUAAAGAAUUAUGGUUGUCCAUCCGUCAAUGCCACUACAGAUACAAUUAUGUCCACUGCACAUCUAUACUUCUUAAUACUGUUGUGUUGAUUUAUCCCAUUUGUCAAAUAAUAAAAAAACUAUGCAAAGGCAAAAACAGAA